AUUGAACGCUGGCGGCAUGCUUUACACAUGCGAGUCGAACGGUAACAGGCCGCAAGGUGCUGACGAGUGGCGUACGGGUGAGUAAUGCAUCGGAACGUGCCCAGUCGUGGGGGAUAACUACUCGAAAGAGUAGCUAAUACCGCAUACGAUCUAUGGAUGAAAGCGGGGGACCGUAAGGCCUCGCGCGAUUGGAGCGGCCGAUGUCGGAUUAGGUAGUUGGUGGGGUAAAGGCUCACCAAGCCAACGAUCUGUAGCUGGUCUGAGAGGACGACCAGCCACACUGGGACUGGGACACGGCCCAGACUCCUACGGGAGGCAGCAGUGGGGAAUGUUGGACAAUGGGCGCAAGCCUGAUCCAGCAAUGCCGCGUGCAGGAAGAAGGCCUUCGGGUUGUAAACUGCUUUUGUACGGAACGAAACGGCUCUGGUUAAUACCCGGGGCUAAUGACGGUACCGUAAGAAUAAGCACCGGCUAACUACGUG
rnacentral:rRNA from 1 species